rnacentral:tRNA from 1 species
UCUCGCGGAAUCUAGCGGUCAAGGAUGGAGCCCUCUGGAGGCUCAGGCGGCAGUUCGAAUCUGCCCGGGGCUA